rnacentral:rRNA from 1 species
GUAGGUGGCAAGCGUUGUCCGGGAAUUAUUGGGCGUAAAGCGCGCGCAGGCGGUUCGUUAAAGUCUGAUGUGAAAGCCCACGGGCUCAACCGUGGAGGGUCAUUGGAAACUGGAGAACUUGAGUACAGAAGAGGAAAGCGGAAUUCCACGUGUAGCGGUGAAAUGCGUAGAGAUGUGGAGGAACACCAGUGGCGAAGGCGGCUUUCUGGUCUGUAACUGACGCUGAGGCGCGAAAGCGUGGGGAGCAAACAGGAUUAGAUACCCUGGUAGUCCACGCCGUAAACGAUGAGUGCUAAGUGUUAGGGGGUUUCCGCCCCUUAGUGCUGCAGCUAACGCACUAAGCACUCCGCCUGGGGAGUACGGCCGCAAAGGCUG